rnacentral:rRNA from 1 species
GACAGAGGGGGGCAAGCGUUGCUCGGAAUCACUGGGCGUAAAGGGCGCGUAGGCGGGAUGGCAAGUCAGUCGUGAAAUCUCUCGGCUCAACCGAGAAACGUCGGCUGAUACUGCCGUUCUUGAGGGAUGCAGAGGAGACUGGAAUUCCCGGUGUAGCGGUGAAAUGUGUAGAGAUCAUGAGGAAGACCAGUGGCGAAGGCGGGUCUCUGGACAGUUCCUGACACUGAGACACGAAGGCCAGGGGAGCAAACGGG